GACGAACGCUGGCGGCGUGCUUAACACAUGCAAGUCGAACGAAGAGCGAUGGAAGCUUGCUUCUAUCAAUCUUAGUGGCGAACGGGUGAGUAACGCGUAAUCAACCUGCCCUUCAGAGGGGGACAACAGUUGGAAACGACUGCUAAUACCGCAUACGAUCUAAUCUCGGCAUCGAGGAUGGAUGAAAGGUGGCCUCUAUUUAUAAGCUAUCACUGAAGGAGGGGAUUGCGUCUGAUUAGCUAGUUGGAGGGGUAACGGCCCACCAAGGCGAUGAUCAGUAGCCGGUCUGAGAAGAUGAACGGCCACAUUGGGACUGAGACACGGCCCAGACUCCUACGGGAGGCAGCAGUGGGGAAUCUUCCGCAAUGGACGAAAGUCUGACGGAGCAACGCCGCGUGAGUGAUGACGGCCUUCGGGUUGUAAAGCUCUGUUAAUCGGGACGAAAGGCCUUCUUGCGAAUAGUUAGAAGGAUUGACGGUACCGGAAUAGAAAGCCACGGCU
rnacentral:rRNA from 1 species